AAUAAAUGCAGUUUUCCAUUGUUCAUAUUCAACAUUUGACCGUUCAUUUAUUUAAAAAUUUUAUAGAAUUAGUAUUUUUAUUUUUAUUAGAUGAUAAAAUAUGAAUAGUACUUUAUGUGUGACUAAUAUUUUUUAUUUUUUUUAUAAAUUUUUUUAAAUAAGACAGAUAGUCAAACGUUAGACACAGUUAUCCACGACUACACUUAUU
rfam:Oryza nivara chromosome 11, whole genome shotgun sequence.